GACGAACGCUGGCGGCGUGCUUAACACAUGCAAGUCGAACGGAAAGGCCCUGCUUUUGUGGGGUGCUCGAGUGGCGAACGGGUGAGUAACACGUGAGUAACCUGCCCUUGACUUUGGGAUAACUUCAGGAAACUGGGGCUAAUACCGGAUAGGAGCUCCUGCUGCAUGGUGGGGGUUGGAAAGUUUCGGCGGUUGGGGAUGGACUCGCGGCUUAUCAGCUUGUUGGUGGGGUAGUGGCUUACCAAGGCUUUGACGGGUAGCCGGCCUGAGAGGGUGACCGGCCACAUUGGGACUGAGAUACGGCCCAGACUCCUACGGGAGGCAGCAGUGGGGAAUAUUGCACAAUGGGCGGAAGCCUGAUGCAGCAACGCCGCGUGCGGGAUGACGGCCUUCGGGUUGUAAACCGCUUUCGCCUGUGACGAAGCGUGAGUGACGGUAAUGGGUAAAGAAGCACCGGCUAACUACUUG
rnacentral:rRNA from 1 species